rnacentral:rRNA from 1 species
AGUACUGUGAAGGAAAGGUGAAAAGCACCCCGGGAGGGGAGUGAAAAAGAACCUGAAACCCUGUGCCUACAAGCACCUAGAGCACGUCAAUGUGUGAUAGGGUACUUUUUGUAGAACGGUCCGGCGAGCGAUUGUAUGCAGCAAGGUUAAGGACUUAAGGUCUGGAGCCGAAGCGAAAGCGAGUUUGAAAAGGGCGUUAAGUUGCAUAUAAUGGGCCCGAAACCGGGUGACCUACCCAUGGUCAGGUUGAAGUGGAAGUAAAAUUCCAUGGAGGACCGAACCGACCUCCGUUGAAAAGGCGGCGGAUGAACUGUGGGUAGCGGAGAAAUUCCAAUCGAACCCGGAGAUAGCUGGUUCUCCCCGAAAUAGUUUUAGGACUAGCCUCAAGUUAGAUACCUGGAGGUAAAGCACUGAAUAGCCUAGCGGCCGAGAGGUUAGCGAAGCUUAUCAAACUCAGAAUGCCAGAGUAUUGAUGCUUGGGAGUCAGACAGUGUCAGAUAAAUGUCAUUGUCAAAAGGGAAACAGCCCAGAUCUACAGCUAAGGUCCCAAAGUCAGGUUAAGUGGAAAACGAUGUGAAGAUACGCAGACAACCAGGAUGUUGGCUCAGAAGCAGCCACUCAUUCAAAGAGUGCGUAAUAGCUCACUGGUCGAGCGUCUUUGCGCGGAGAAUUUAACGGGGCUAAACCUGACACCGAAGCUUAGGCAAUCCAGUAAUGGAUUGGGUAGGGGAGCGUUGUAUACGCGGAGAAACAGUAGCGUAAGCGGCUGUGGAGUGUAUAGAAGUGAGAAUGCCGGAAUGAGUAGCGCGAAUGCAGUGAGAAUCUGCAUGGCCGAAAGCCUCAGGUUUUUGGAGGAAGGUUCGUCCGCUCCAAGUUAGUCGGGAGCUAAGGUGAGGCCGGAAGGCGUAGCCGAUGCACAGACGGUAGAGAUUCCGUCACCACCAAAAGAGUUAAGCACAGGGACACAUUUGAAGUCUCAGAGCCGGGUGUUGGUUCCGGUAGAGAUCGAGGGAAGUUAGUACCGAAGUCUGGGAUGGAAGAUGGCGAGAAAAGCUGUGUGUAUUUCUGAGGUGCCCGUACCGCAAACCGACACAGGUAGGUAGGAAGAAGAUUCUAAGGCCAACGGGAGAAGGGUUGUUAAGGAACUCGGCAAAUUGACCCCGUAACUUCGGGAGAAGGGGUGCUCCAGAGAUGGAGCCGCAGAGAAUCGGCCCAAGCAACUGUUUACCAAAAACACAGGUUUGUGCUAAAUCGAAAGAUGACGUAUACGAGCUGACGCCUGCCCGGUGCUGGAAGGUUAAGAGGAGAUGUGCAAGCAUUGAAUCGAAGCCCCAGUGAACGGCGGCCGUAACUAUAACGGUCCUAAGGUAGCGAAAUUCCUUGUCAGGUAAGUUCUGACCCGC